rnacentral:rRNA from 1 species
CGUUAAUCGGGGCAGGGUGAGUCGACCCCUAAGGCGAGGCCGAAAGGCGUAGUCGAUGGGAAACGGGUUAAUAUUCCCGUACUUGGUGUUACUGCGAAGGGGGGACGGAGAAGGCUAUGUUGGCCGGGCGACGGUUGUCCCGGUUUAAGCGUGUAGGUGUGUGUUCCAGGUAAAUCCGGUUCACUUUAACACUGAGGCGUGACGACGAGGCACUACGGUGCUGAAGCAACAAAUGCCCUGCUUCCAGGAAAAGCCUCUAAGCAUCAGGUAACAUCAAAUCGUACCCCAAACCGACACAGGUGGUCAGGUAGAGAAUACCAAGGCGCUUGAGAGAACUCGGGUGAAGGAACUAGGCAAAAUGGUGCCGUAACUUCGGGAGAAGGCACGCUGACACGUAGGUGAAGUGAUUUACUCAUGGAGCUGAAGUCAGUCGAAGAUACCAGCUGGCUGCAACUGUUUAUUAAAAACACAGCACUGUGCAAACACGAAAGUGGACGUAUACGGUGUGACGCCUGCCCGGUGCCGGAAGGUUAAUUGAUGGGGUCAGCGCAAGCGAAGCUCCUGAUCGAAGCCCCGGUAAACGGCGGCCGUAACUAUAACGGUCCUAAGGUAGCGAAAUUCCUUGUCGGGUAAGUUCCGACCUGCACGAAUGGCGUAAUGAUGGCCAGGCUGUCUCCACCCGAGACUCAGUGAAAUUGAACUCGCUGUGAAGAUGCAGUGUACCCGCGGCAAGACGGAAAGACCCCGUGAACCUUUACUAUAGCUUGACACUGAACAUUGAGCCUUGAUGUGUAGGAUAGGUGGGAGGCUUUGAAGCGUGGACGCCAGUCUGCGUGGAGCCAACCUUGAAAUACCACCCUUUAAUGUUUGAUGUUCUAACGUGGACCCGUAAUCCGGGUUGCGGACAGUGUCUGGUGGGUAGUUUGACUGGGGCGGUCUCCUCCUAAAGAGUAACGGAGGAGCACGAAGGUUGGCUAAUCCUGGUCGGACAUCAGGAGGUUAGUGCAAUGGCAUAAGCCAGCUUGACUGCGAGCGUGACGGCGCGAGCAGGUGCGAAAGCAGGUCAUAGUGAUCCGGUGGUUCUGAAUGGAAGGGCCAUCGCUCAACGGAUAAAAGGUACUCCGGGGAUAACAGGCUGAUACCGCCCAAGAGUUCAUAUCGACGGCGGUGUUUGGCACCUCGAUGUCGGCUCAUCACAUCCUGGGGCUGAAGUAGGUCCCAAGGGUAUGGCUGUUCGCCAUUUAAAGUGGUACGCGAGCUGGGUUUAGAACGUCGUGAGACAGUUCGGUCCCUAUCUGCCGUGGGCGCUGGAGAACUGAGGGGGGCUGCUCCUAGUACGAGAGGACCGGAGUGGACGCAUCACUGGUGUUCGGGUUGUCAUGCCAAUGGCACUGCCCGGUAGCUAAAUGCGGAAGAGAUAAGUGCUGAAAGCAUCUAAGCACGAAACUUGCCCCGA